GACAGAGGGGGCAAGCGUUGCUCGGAAUUACUGGGCGUAAAGGGCGCGUAGGCGGGAUGGUAAGUCGGUCGUGAAAUCCCUCGGCUCAACCGAGGAACGUCGAUCGAUACUACCGUUCUUGAGGGUUGCAGAGGAGACUGGAAUUCCCGGUGUAGCGGUGAAAUGUGUAGACAUCAGGAGGAACACCGGUGGUGUAAACGGCUUUCUGGACCAUAACCGACGCUGAGGCGCGAAAGCUAGGGGAGCAAACAGG
rnacentral:rRNA from 1 species